AUAAUGAUACUUGCGUCCAGUCACAGGCCGAGCGUUGAAGCGGCACGAAAAGCGCCGUGAGCCGUCGCAACCAAUGAGGGCGCCUCGCAGAGAUCCUGGGAGUGGUGGGAUUCCAAUGA
rnacentral:ncRNA from 1 species